rnacentral:rRNA from 1 species
GAUGAACGCUGGCGGCGUGCCUAAUACAUGCAAGUCGAGCGAACAGAUAAGGAGCUUGCUCCUUUGACGUUAGCGGCGGACGGGUGAGUAACACGUGGAUAACCUACCUAUAAGACUGGGAUAACUUCGGGAAACCGGAGCUAAUACCGGAUAACAUAUUGAACCGCAUGGUUCAAUAGUGAAAGGCGGCUUUGCUGUCACUUAUAGAUGGAUCCGCGCCGUAUUAGCUAGUUGGUAAGGUAACGGCUUACCAAGGCAACGAUACGUAGCCGACCUGAGAGGGUGAUCGGCCACACUGGAACUGAGACACGGUCCAGACUCCUACGGGAGGCAGCAGUAGGGAAUCUUCCGCAAUGGGCGAAAGCCUGACGGAGCAACGCCGCGUGAGUGAUGAAGGUCUUCGGAUCGUAAAACUCUGUUAUCAGGGAAGACCAAAUGUGUAAGUAACUGUGCACAUCUUGACGGUACCUGAUCAGAAAGCCACGGCUAACUACGUG